rnacentral:rRNA from 1 species
AAAUUGAAGAGUUUGAUCAUGGCUCAGAUUGAACGCUGGCGGCAGGCCUAACACAUGCAAGUCGAGCGGAAACGAGUUAACUGAACCUUCGGGGGACGAUAACGGCGUCGAGCGGCGGACGGGUGAGUAAUGCCUAGGAAAUUGCCCUGAUGUGGGGGAUAACCAUUGGAAACGAUGGCUAAUACCGCAUGAUGCCUACGGGCCAAAGAGGGGGACCUUCGGGCCUCUC